rnacentral:lncRNA from 1 species
GUUCUUGUCUGACUGUCUUAUUUCAGAAAGGCAGCCAUCAAGCUCUGAGAUUCUUUCCUCCACUUGGUCUAUUCUGCUACUAAUACUUCUCAGCCCAGUUCAGAACUCCUGUUGGAGAGAUGAUUCAGCUGUUUGCAGGAAAAAAGGCCCUCUGACUUUGAUUGUGAAGGAAGAGAGAAAUGUGGAAGAGAAGAGGAAGCAGAAGAAAAGAAAAGGAAUCAAGAUCUUACACUACCUGAAAAGCCUAAAAUAUUUACCUUUAUACAAAUCUUUCCCUUUGUAGAAAAAUUUUGACAAUCCCUGCUCUAGAGAGAGGAAGAAAACUCCAAGGAUUUACCAGGUUUCUGAAGGUAAACUACUGAGGAACAAAACCACUAAUAAAAUUCCUGCAAGAAUAAUGUAUUUUUUGAG